rnacentral:misc_RNA from 1 species
AAAAGGUAAUUUGGAGCACUCACACACCCGAUAAUGUCAAACCAUACAUAUAUGGGAGCUGAUCCCCUAUACAGACCUCUUAAUCCAACUUGUGCCAGCGAAGAACUCAAGUCGGACUUUCGCUUAAUAAACCAAAUUGGGGUUCCAGUGAAGAACUCAAGCCGUGUCUACCCCGAAGGACCGGGUCCCAGCGAAGAUCUCAAGCCUUGUCUACCCGCACUGUCCAUAGCCAACACCAUACCACACGGACAUCAACUCACGCACACUGCUCCAAAUUACCACAACAAUAUCCAUGGCACUUUAACAAUUAUGAAUGCAACAUAAAACGUGCCUAGUGUUUAACUACAUAAAUACAUAUUUACAAGUGAUGCAUGGGCAUGCUUGAACAUAU